rnacentral:rRNA from 1 species
CUACGGGGUGCUGCAGUGGGGAAUAUUGGACAAUGGGGGAAACCCUGAUCCAGCAAUGCCGCGUGUGUGAAGAAGGCCUGCGGGUUGUAAAGCACUUUCGGUUGGGAGGACUGCUUCUAGCACUAAUAUUGUUGGAAGUUGACGUUACCUUCCGAAGAAGCACCGGCUAACUCCGUGCCAGCAGCCGGCGGUAAUACGGAGGGUGCAAGCGUUAAUCGGAAUUACUGGGCGUAAAGCGCGCGUAGGCGGCUAGAUCAGUCGGGUGUGAAAGCCCCGGGCUUAACCUGGGAACUGCAUCCGAUACUGUCUAGCUUGAGUACAGGAGAGGAGAGUGGAAUUCCACAUGUAGCGGUGAAAUGCGUAGAUAUGUGGAGGAACACCAAUGGCGAAGGCAGCUCUCUGGCCUGAUACUGACGCUGAGGUGCGAAAGCGUGGGGAGCAAACAGGAUUAGAUACCCUCGUAGUC